rnacentral:lncRNA from 1 species
GCUUGCGCACUGGCUCCGCGUCGGCCGGUCGGUUUGGUCGGUUGUAGUGGCCUCGCCGCCCGGUCCGCUGUCGCAGCGCUCAUCCGCGCCGGGAGCCCUUGGCUGCGUCGCCCGGCAGCCGCGCCUCGCGAGACCGCUGUCUACGGCGCUGACGCCGCCUCUGCCUCUUGACCCCUUGGCCCCGCUGUCCUGAUCCCUGAGGUCGGGGCCUGGUCUGCACUCCAGGAAAGACGAGUGCGCUUAGUGUGCGCUGCACGUGAGCAGUGAAGUUGAUUCCACGCGCUGCGCUGCUCGGCAGCUGUCCCAGAACUGACCACGGACCCCUCCGCGGGUCCUGCUCCUGACAAGGGCCUUCCGGCACUGGGAGUUUUGUGUUAGUGGAAAGGAAGAAUCUAAUAAUACCACCACCUUUACAGUAAAGACGCUGCGAAUUGACGCCUUUUAUAAUAAAGACACUUAUCUUGCCCAAGAGCUGGGCAGGCUGAUUGGCGCUGGUUUCCAUCUGUCAGAUUGGACAGCAGUACCACUGGCUGUUGGGGGCUCACGACCAGAUAGAGUCUUGUCUGGGAACCACAAGUGAGUGUUGUUACCACAGCUCUGCAGCAGUGAGGGCACCUCUCAAUCCACGUGCAGUCGCCCCACCUUAUCUUCAGGGGAUACGGUCCAACACCCUCAAUGGAUGCCUGAAAUCAAGGAUAGUAGUGAACACUAUAUACACUGUUUUGUUAUGCAUCCUUCCAUAUCUACGAUAAAGUUUAAUUCAUAAACUAGGCACAGGAAGAGAUUAAUAACAGCUAAUAAUAAAAUAGAACAGUCGUAACAAUAUACUGUAAUAAAAGUCAUGUGAAAGUGAUGUCUCUCUCCUAAAA